rnacentral:tRNA from 1 species
AACUUGGUAGUGCAAUCGGUAGCACACUAAACUGCACAUUUGUAGCUACGGGUUCAAGUCCCACCUGAGCUU